UUGGGAACGAGAAUGGGAAUUGGGAACGGGAAUGGGAACAGGAAUGGGAAUUGAGAAUGGGAAUUGGGAAUGGGAACAGGAAUGGGAAUGGGAAUUGAGAAUGGGAAUUGGGAACGGGAAUGGGAAUGGGAAUUGGGAACGGGAAUGAGCCCUUCCCGGCGACUUCACCUCUGCAAGGCCUCUGGAAGGCGGCUGCCCUGCCCUGCCAUUGGAUGUCCCCAGCCACUGUGAUCCCCUGGGCACCCCAGAAGACGCGGGAUGUAAAACGGGCGUUCUCCAUCUGGAGGAAUUUCGGGAGGGGGCAGUUGAGCCUUCAUUUCUCAUUAGGCCCCGGCGCAGCUCUGCUUUCCCCGUUAAUUGGGUGCCGUUCAUUCUCUCCGCCCCAUUACUCGCCGCCGCACCCAGAAUUUAUAUCCGUUUGGAUUAAUCGCGUCCGCCUGGUUAAAUCCCAAACAGCCACUCGUUCAGAAAGGGAGUUAUUACCUCGCUUUGCCGGGACUUCCACUUUGCCUUAAUUUCCCUGGAGCCUCGUUUGCCUUGCUGUGCCUUCUCUCCCCUCCCCAGCUCCCCUCGGGCUCGGCUGGGAGCGUGUGAUGCUCGUGUGCCAUCCGGGCUCGUUCCACGUGCAGCUCUUGCCAGGCUCAGAGAACAGGAACCAUUCGGGUGCUUCACAGACUCGCUUUUGUGGAGGAGGGAUGUGGAGGGCAGGGAGCCAGAUGUGUGCUCUUCCUGGCACCUGAGGGCCGCAGGGCCAAUGCUGGCGGAUUCUGAGGAGCUGGAAAGGGUGAUGACAGUGUACAGCGUGGUGCAGGUAAAUGGACUCUGUGGCCAGAGGAUGAUGAGGAGCGUGGAUGUGUCCAUACCUGAGGUAGCUGACUCUGUGGCCCAAGGGCCUGUGUGUUUUUCCAGAGGUUGCCCACUGCAGGUGGCCUGUCUGGGGUGGGACAACCCAUGGAGCUGAUGGUGGAGAGGAUCUCCAGGGGCACUGGAGGCAGCUGAGUGGUGCUGGCUGGCUCCUGAUGGGGGUGCUUGGUAAGCAGGUUUUCACAGGUGUCCAAGCAGUGGUGAUGAGCAGAGUGCCUGUCUGCAGGGAUUGCAGUGUUGGCCAAGCCUUUUGUUGUUCCUUAAUCCUUCAGGAGACAUAAAAAUAAGAUUGAAUCAACAGCAUGGUGAAGAUAAUUUAAACAGUGGAAGGAGCUGAAAUUGUCUGGACAAAGCAGGGAACAGUCAGUGAAGGGCAGGACUAACUUUUUUCCCAUUGGAAAAACCCAUUUUGAUGCCACAACUGCUGACUUGGCAGGUGGAAUCUGCUGUGAGCUGGGCUUAGACAAGGAAAGUACAUCCCAAGAGUUAAUGCAGAUUUAUACAGUGAAGGACUUUUCAGUCCUGCUUCCAAAAAAGCAGAGUUUUCACAAGCUGGAUGUUCCAGGCAGACACUUUGCAGUGGUUUUGAAGAGCAAGGAUGAUGGAGAGCUGGAUCAAAAUAUACACAGAAUAAAGAGCUAUGGUAAAAUAUACACAGAAAAUACACAGAAUAAUAGGAAACAACUGCACCUGGGAAGCAGAGGAAACAAGGAGAAGUAAAGGGUGAAAAAGAGAAGAAAAACCCCACAUGUAAGUGCGUAAAUACUUGGUGAGGCCAAAGUAACAACAGGAACAUCCUGGGAGGAAAAAAAAAAACACAAACAAAAACACGAAGCAAGAUUUGACUGCAAAAAUGAAACAGUGAGGAGGACAUGGAUGAGCUGUGCCCUGCCCUUUCUAAGGAAGAAGAAGAAGAAGAAAACACCACUAAAUACUGAGAAAAAACAUGGAAAAGAAGAAGAUACCCUACUUCACCCCUGGCUUCCUUCACUCCCCCCUCAUUUCCACACCACACAACCACUGCCCCCCAUGGGCCAGCACUCCCUGUUUGAGACUCGUGGCUAAUUUAGGCCAAGUUCAGUAAAGAUGAAUUCUUUACCUGUGUGAUGGUGAUGAAUAAAGCCUGAGCCUGGCUGUUAAUGUGUACUGUCAAUGAUUGUCAGUCCAGUAAAGCCUGCUUUAAACCUUCAAA